CCCCCCCCAAUCUUCAUUUGUGCGCACAACCAUCCUCAAGUGGGAGAAGUUUUGAUUGGGUCUUUCCUCACAUGACAUGCCACUGAAACCGGUUUCUUGGAGCUGUAGAGAAGAGAGAAAUUUCGCAGCUUUGAGUCACUGCUCUCCAUGGCCGAUUUGCACAACUUGGGUUCCUUACAAGUAGAUGUGCGCAACAUCUCUAAGAACGUGGACUAUUCUGGUGCUGUUUGAUUAAUACUUGGGCUCACAAGGAGCACGAAAAAGCAUUUGAUGAUGUACUUGUAUUGGAGAUAUUCUGUUUACAUGUUGCUGUUGGAAUUUCUGUUGUCUGUUUGCUGAUUCUGUCGAAUGCGCAUGAAAUAUUUGACGUUGGUGUAAUAUUUUGGGAGAUUGGAAAAAUGUUAGGACAUAUCUGAUCUUGCUAUA